rnacentral:rRNA from 1 species
AGUCAAGUAAUUAAGUGCAUGUGGUGGAUGCCUUGGCAGUCAGAGGCGAUGAAAGACGUGAUAGCCUGCGAAAAGCUCCGGGAGGCGGCAAAUAUCCUUUGAUCCGGAGAUGUCUGAAUGGGGAACCCACCUACUUUAAGGUAGGUAUUGCAACAUGAAUACAUAGUGUUGCAAGGCGAACGAGGGGAAGUGAAACAUCUCAGUACCCUUAGGAAAAGAAAUCAAUUGAGAUUCCCUCAGUAGCGGCGAGCGAACGGGGAUCAGCCCAUUAAGUUAUGUGUGUUUUAGUGGAACGCUCUGGGAAGUGCGAACGUAGAGGGUGAUAUUCCCGUACACGAAAGGGCACACAUAAUGAUGACGAGUAGGGCGAGGCACGUGAAACCUUGUCUGAAUAUGGGGGACCAUCCUCCAAGGCUAAAUACUCCUGACUGACCGAUAGUGAACCAGUACCGUGAGGGAAAGGCGAAAAGAACCCCUGUGAGGGGAGUGAAAUAGAUCCUGAAACCGCAUGCAUACAAGCAGUGGGAGCACCUUCGUGGUGUGACUGCGUACCUUUUGUAUAAUGGGUCAGCGACUUAUAUUCAGUAGCGAGGUUAACCGUAUAGGGGAGCCGUAGAGAAAUCGAGUCUUAAUAGGGCGUUUAGUUGCUGGGUAUAGACCCGAAACCAGGCGAUCUAUCCAUGAGCAGGUUGAAGGUUGGGUAACACUAACUGGAGGACCGAACCCACUGUCGUUGAAAAGCCAGGGGAUGACUUGUGGAUAGGGGUGAAAGGCUAAUCAAGCCUGGUGAUAGCUGGUUCUCCCCGAAAGCUAUUUAGGUAGCGCCUCGGACGAAUACCAUAGGGGGUAGAGCACUGUUUCGGCUAGGGGUCAUCCCGACUUACCAAACCGAUGCAAACUCCGAAUACCUAUGAGUACUAUCCGGGAGACAGACUGCGGGUGCUAACGUCCGUAGUCAAGAGGAAAACAAUCCAGACCGCCAGCUAAGGCCCCAAAAUCAUAGUUAAGUGGGAAACGAUGUGGGAAGGCAUAGACAGCUAGGAGGUUGGCUUAGAAGCAGCCACCCUUUAAAGAAAGCGUAAUAGCUCACUAGUCGAGUCGGCCUGCGCGGAAGAUGUAACGGGGCUAAAACUAUGUGCCGAAGCUGCGGAUGUAUACUUUGUAUACGUGGUAGGGGAGCGUUCUGUAAGCCGAUGAAGGUGUGUUGAGAAGCAUGCUGGAGGUAUCAGAAGUGCGAAUGCUGACGUGAGUAACGACAAAACGGGUGAAAAACCCGUUCGCCGAAAGACCAAGGGUUCCAGUCCAACGUUAAUCGGGGCUGGGUGAGUCGACCCCUAAGGCGAGGCCGAAAGGCGUAGUCGAUGGGAAAAUGGUUAAUAUUCCAUUACUUCUGUGUAAUGCGAUGAGAGGACGGAGAAGGCUAAAUCAGCCUGGCGUUGGUUGUCCAGGUGAAAGGAUGUAGGCAUGUAUCUUAGGCAAAUCCGGGGUACUCUAUGCUGAGAUCUGAUAGCAAGCUGUACUUGUACAGCGAAGUGGUUGAUGCCAUGCUUCCAGGAAAAGUCUCUAAGCUUCAGUUACACAGGAAUCGUACCCGAAACCGACACAGGUGGUCAGGUCGAGUAGACCAAGGCGCUUGAGAGAACUCUGCUGAAGGAACUAGGCAAAAUGGUACCGUAACUUCGGGAGAAGGUACGCUGUUGUUGGUGAUGGAACUCGCUUCCUGAGCUGACGACAGCCGCAGAAACCAGGCCGCUGCAACUGUUUAUUAAAAACAUAGCACUCUGCAAACACGAAAGUGGACGUAUAGGGUGUGAUGCCUGCCCGGUGCUGGAAGGUUAAUUGAUGGGGUUAGCGUAAGCGAAGCUCUUGAUCGAAGCCCCAGUAAACGGCGGCCGUAACUAUAACGGUCCUAAGGUAGCGAAAUUCCUUGUCGGGUAAGUUCCGACCUGCACGAAUGGCAUAAUGAUGGCGGCGCUGUCUCCAGCAGAGGCUCAGUGAAAUCGAAAUCGCUGUGAAGAUGCAGUGUACCCGCGGCUAGACGGAAAGACCCCGUGAACCUUUACUGCAGCUUGACACUGAACUUUGACCUUACUUGUGUAGGAUAGGUGGGAGGCUUUGAAGCUGGAACGCUAGUUCCAGUGGAGCCGUCCUUGAAAUACCACCCUGGUAAUGUUGAGGUUCUAACUCUGUCCCGUGAUCCGGGACGAGGACCGUGUCUGGUGGGUAGUUUGACUGGGGCGGUCUCCUCCUAAAGAGUAACGGAGGAGUACGAAGGUGCGCUCAGCGUGGUCGGAAAUCACGCGUAGAGUAUAAAGGCAAAAGCGCGCUUAACUGCGAGACCCACAAGUCGAGCAGGUACGAAAGUAGGUCUUAGUGAUCCGGUGGUUCUGUAUGGAAGGGCCAUCGCUCAACGGAUAAAAGGUACUCUGGGGAUAACAGGCUGAUACCGCCCAAGAGUUCAUAUCGACGGCGGUGUUUGGCACCUCGAUGUCGGCUCAUCUCAUCCUGGGGCUGAAGCAGGUCCCAAGGGUAUGGCUGUUCGCCAUUUAAAGAGGUACGCGAGCUGGGUUUAGAACGUCGUGAGACAGUUCGGUCCCUAUCUACCGUGGGCGCUGGAAAUUUGAGAGGAUCUGCUCCUAGUACGAGAGGACCAGAGUGGACGAACCUCUGGUGUACCGGUUGUGACGCCAGUCGCAUCGCCGGGUAGCUAUGUUCGGAAGGGAUAACCGCUGAAAGCAUCUAAGCGGGAAGCCUACCUCAAGAUAAGAUUUCCCUAGGACUUUAUGUCCUCUAAAGAGCCGUUCGAGACUAGGACGUUGAUAGGUUGGAUGUGGAAGCAUAGUGAUAUGUGAAGCUGACCAAUACUAAUUGCUCGUGAGGCUUGACUAU